rnacentral:RNase_P_RNA from 1 species
GGGAGUAGGUGGACGGUUGACGGUGAACCCUUCUGGGUUCGCUGAGGAAAGUCCUCCCUCGCUCUGGACUGGGGAACCACGCAAGUGGUAGAGGUGAGAGCCUCUGCAGAGGAGCAGAAACGACACAGCUCAAGGAUAAUGCAAUGAUUCACAUGGUGAUGAGGUCUCCUUGAGAUUUGAUGAAACGGCCACUCUGCCCCCAGAGCAAGCCCAAAUAUUGAGAUCAGUUGUCCAGACUGCUCAAAGGUAGGGCGCCCAGUCGAAUACCGUCUAAAACAGAAGGAGGCUUACGGCCUACACCC